CGGCGUGCUUAACACAUGCAAGUCGAACGAACCUUCGGGUUAGUGGCGGACGGGUGAGUAACGCGUGAGAAUCUGCCCUCAGGAGGGGGAUAACAGCUGGAAACGGCUGCUAAUACCCCAUAUGCCGCGAGGUGAAAUGAAUUUCGCCUGAGGAUGAGCUCGCGUCUGAUUAGCUAGUUGGUGUAGGUAAUGGCUCACCAAGGCAUCGAUCAGUAGCUGGUCUGAGAGGAUGAUCAGCCACACUGGGACUGAGACACGGCCCAGACUCCUACGGGAGGCAGCAGUGGGGAAUUUUCCGCAAUGGGCGAAAGCCUGACGGAGCAACGCCGCGUGAGGGAUGAAGGCCUCUGGGCUGUAAACCUCUUUUAUCAAGGAAGAAGAUCUGACGGUACUUGAUGAAUAAGCCACGGCUAAUUCCG
rnacentral:rRNA from 1 species